AUAUCAAUAAGCGGAGGAAAAGAAACCAACAGGGAUUGCCUUAGUAACGGCGAGUGAAGCGGCAACAGCUCAAAUUUGAAAUCUGGUACUUUCAGUGCCCGAGUUGUAAUUUGUAGAGGAUGUUUCGGCGUCGGCGCCACCUGAAGUUCCUUGGAACGGGACGUCAAAGAGGGUGAGAGCCCCGUGUCUGGGUGGAUGACUUCGCCAUGUGAAACUCCUUCGACGAGUCGAGUUGUUUGGGAAUGCAGCUCAAAACGGGAGGUAAAUUUCUUCCAAAGCUAAAUACCGGCCAGAGACCGAUAGUGCACAAGUAGAGUGAUCGAAAGAUGAAAAGCACUUUGGAAAGAGAGUCAAACAGCGCGUGAAAUUGUUGAAAGGGAAGCGCUUGAGGUCAGACUUGGCCGCCGUUGCUCGGCGGGGCUCUCGCCCCGUUUGCUCUUCGGCGGUCAGGCCAGCAUCAACUUGGACGGUUGGAUAAAGACCGCGGGAAUGUGGCUCCUCCGGGAGUGUUAUAGCCCGCGGUGGAAUGCAGCCAGUCUGGGUUGAGGUCUGCGCAUCUGCUAGGAUGCUGGCGUAAUGGCCCCAAGCGGCCCGUCUUGAAACACGGACCAAGGAGUCUAACAUUCGUGCAAGUGUUCGGGCGUCAAACCCCUACGCGUAAUGAAAGUGAACGUUGGUGGGAAUUUUUUAUGCACCAUCGACCGAUCCUAAUGUCUUCGGAUGGAUUUGAGUAUGAGCACGUAUGUUGGGACCCGAAAGAUGGUGAACUAUGCCUAAGCAGGGCGAAGCCAGAGGAAACUCUGGUGGAGGCUCGCAGCGGUUCUGACGUGCAAAUCGAUCGUCAAAUUUGGGUAUAGG
rnacentral:misc_RNA from 1 species